rnacentral:tRNA from 1 species
GCCGUCAUCCCAAUGGCUGGGACCCUCUUUCGUAAUGAGGUCUACCGUGAGUUCGAUUCUCACUGACGGCU